rnacentral:misc_RNA from 1 species
GAUGAAGAACGUAGCGAAAUGCGAUAAGUAAUGUGAAUUGCAGAAUUCAGUGAAUCAUCGAAUCUUUGAACGCACAUUGCGCCCCCUGGCAUUCCGGGGGGCAUGCCUGUUCGAGCGUCAUUUCACCACUCAAGCCUCGCUUGGUAUUGGGCAACGCGGUCCGCCGCGUGCCUCAAAUCGACCGGCUGGGUCUUCUGUCCCCUAAGCGUUGUGGAAACUAUUCGCUAAAGGGUGUUCGGGAGGCUACGCCGUAAAACAACCCCAUUUCUAAGGUUGACCUCGGAUCAGGUAGGGAUACCCGCUGAACUUAAGCAUAUCAAUAAGGGAGGA